GAGUGAAGCGGCAACAGCUCAAAUUUGAAAUCUGAUCUCUUCGAGGUCCGAGUUGUAAUUUGUAGAGGGCGCUUUGGUGUUGGCUGCGGUCUAAGUUCCUUGGAACAGGACGUCAUAGAGGGUGAGAAUCCCGUCUGUGGUCGCAUGUCUUCACCGUGUAAAGCCCCUUCGACGAGUCGAGUUGUUUGGGAAUGCAGCUCUAAAUGGGAGGUAAAUUUCUUCUAAAGCUAAAUACUGGCCAGAGACCGAUAGCGCACAAGUAGAGUGAUCGAAAGAUGAAAAGCACUUUGGAAAGAGAGUUAAAAAGCACGUGAAAUUGUUGAAAGGGAAGCGCUUGCAGCCAGACUUGCUUGCAGUUGCUCAUCCGGGCGUUCGCCCGGUGCACUCUUCUGUAGGCAGGCCAGCAUCAGUUUGGGCGGUUGGAUAAAGGCCUCUGUCAUGUAUCUUCUCCGGAAGACCUUAUAGGGGAGGCGUAAUGCAACCAGCCUGGACUGAGGUCCGCGCAUCUGCUAGGAUGCUGGCGUAAUGGCUGUAAGCGGCCCGUCUUGAAACACGGACCAAGGAGUCUAACAUCUAUGCGAGUGUUUGGGUGUCAAGCCCGAGCGCGCAAUGAAAGUGAACGGAGGUGGGAACCUUAGGGUGCACCAUCGACCGAUCCUGAUGUCUUCGGAUGGAUUUGAGUAAGAGCAUAGCUGUUGGGACCCGAAAGAUGGUGAACUAUGCUUGAAUAGGGUGAAGCCAGAGGAAACUCUGGUGGAGGCUCGCAGCGGUUCUGACGUGCAAAUCGAUCGUCAA
rnacentral:rRNA from 1 species